GUACUCUGGAUUCUCUUCAGAUUGCUUAAAUAUAUGUGUUUUACUAAAGAUUCUAAUGAAGAGAAACAAUUCUGAGUUUUGAACUAAUUUUUUGAGGCCUUGCUUCUGUAAGGCC